GCAAUUAAUGUUACCAUACUUUUAUAUUGUCUUUCCAUAAUCGGAAUAUCCUAAUAUACAAUUGUAUGAGUUAUAUCUAUUCACAUAUAUUUGAGUUUUUUUUAAAGUGGUAAUAACAUAAUUAUGCAUUUUUUUCGACAGAAAAUAAUCAGAAAAUUUGCAGGUGAGUGUUUCCUUUUUUUUUUCUGUUCAUACAGAUUUAAUCUUGGUACAAACAUUUCUUGCUACAAAUUUUUCUAUGUUUUAUGCCCAAUUCGUGAAUUUAGUACUUGUAUACAAAUAAAGAGACGUGAUUUGAUUCAUUAGGAAACACUUAUCCGUAAAGACCAAUGGUAGAUGAGUUGAACUUUUAAAGAUUUGGAUACGGUUUACAAAUUAGCAUUACGUUUGUGAAAGUCACAACAGACCCAUCAACAAUCUGGCAGAGUAUUUGAAAUUUGAAAUGUGCAAGUGUUCUUAUAAUUAAUAAAUCGUAAAUCUUAAUUUACAGAAUGCAUACCUCAUUUUAAUAAUAUGUUAUACUAUUUACAUGGCACAAACUAAAAAAGUAAUUGUUGUGAUCAGCCUAACAAAAGGUCAUCAGUCGGUAUAAGUCAUGAGUUAAUUUUUUUACAAUGGAAACUGAUAUUACAAUUGUGUCCACUCUUUUCUAGGAAUCUUUCAAGAGUUUUGAUAAUGUUAACAAAAUCAUUUAUAGUUUAAAAAAUUUAAAAUUUUUGAAAAACUAAGGCUUUUCUACCUCAGGCAUAGAUUACCUUAGCUGUAUUUGGCAGAACUUUUAGGAAUUUUGGUCUUUAAUGCUCUUUAACUUCGUACUUUAUUUGGGCUUUUUAACUUUUUUGGAUUCGAGCGUCACUGAUGAGUCUUUUGUAAACGAAACGCGCGUCUGGUGUAUAUACAAAAUUUAGUCCUGGUAUCUAUUAUGAGUUUAAUUAUACUGAUAUCAUUAUAUACCUGGGAACUAGUUAGUAAACAAAUAUUUUUCAUAUAAGUUCAUUUAUAUAUUUUGGAGUUUAGUGUGACGUCCAUUUUCGGUGAACUUGUACACAUUUUCAUUUAGGGGUCAGCUGAGGACCACCUGUAGGUGAGGGAUUUUCUAUCUGCUUUGAAGACUGGUGGUCUGUGGCAUUUGUUUGCUCUUUGGUCGGGUUGUUGUCUCUUUGACAUAUUCCAUAUUUCCACUGUCAAUUUUAUUAUAAUGGAAAUGCAUUGUACAUAUCUGGUAUUUCAUAAAUGAGGUGUGGUUCGGGAAGUAAAUAUUUUUACAAAUUCUAACCACCAUGUUAUUUAUUCGUUUGUAUUUUGGGACAUUGAUUUUGACAUUUUAUAAGAAACAUUACCAUUUGAAUUUCGUUUGAAGUUCGGUAUUUUUGUUUUUUAUUCUUUUUAUCUGUGUAUAAGAGAAAAACUCAACCUUUUGUGUUUUGAAAUAAGUGGAAGUUAGAACACCAUCGUAAGUGAUUUCAUUUAGACAAAUAGAUUUUUUAACAGAUUUAUAUCGAAAUAAUAAUUAUAAAUGAAAAAACACAUCAAACGAAUGGACAACAAAUGACAGCUGUCACAUUCCUGACAUAGUACAGGCAUGUUCAAAUGUAGAAAAAUGGUGAAUGCAUUAGCAUUUUUAUUUUUUACCUGCAUGACUGUUGUAAGUUUAAACUAUUCUAUAUCAAUAAGUUGCAAACGAAAAUCUGAUGAUAAGCCGAAUUAUUUACAAGACAACGACACUGCGUUUGUCGUUCAUAUGACCUGUUAAGUUGUCAAUAGUUUUCAUGAUUGUAAGUUUGAAAUUUCUGCUGGCGCUCUUAAUAAUCAAAUUUAAGAUCAUGCAACUAAAUGUUAAAGUUUAUCUUCCGUAUACAAUCCGUAAGUUAUGUGUACAAGACAUACUGAAAAGACCGCCGUUUCUUGUAAUAAAUCUUGACGUAUUUAUAACACUUCUUUAAGAUGCAGUCAUUCCCAAAAAUUUAACUGCCACACAAUUUAGAAGACAUCAUGUCAAAACAAAUCAAAAGUUCAAUCAACUAAUAAUAUAAUAAUAAAUAAUUCUUAUAUGAUUUGCAUAUCUAUAAAUACUUGAAUUGGAUUGGUCAAUUAGAAUUUUUCUCUAAGUUUACACUUCGAUAAACCAUGUUUCCGAAACUACUUUUGUAAUCUAUUCAUGCGCGAUACACAAGCUUGCAGUGAUCCCGGGAUUUUCAGCAAAUUGAGAUUUAAAAACAAUUGCAUAACAGUUGUGACUAUUCUAGUGCAUAAUAUGUAACAAAAAAAGAAAUAAAAUUAAAGCACUAAAGCUUCGAAAAUGUAUAAAAAUAAGAUUUAAUAAAAUUCCGCGAAAUUUCAUGAAGGAUUUGGCGAAUUUACGUCAUGGCAAAACACGACGUCAUACGAAUGGAGAUUUUCAAGGGAAAGAUUAUUUCGUUACGUGUACGAUUCAAAUUCGGAUAACAUUUAAUUAAAAUGAAGUUUUUGAGGUAGGUGCUAUUUCAUUUAAAAUUCCGUUUUAUUUAUCGGACAUUUAUGGUUUUUAGAAAGUCAAGAAGGCGGCGUACUCCUUAGUUACGACUUGCCAUUGUGCUUUUGGUGGUAAAUAUCCCUCUUGCUGCCAAAGGGACAUUUAUGGCUUCUACACACAAAUCUUGUUGAUUGUGUAGAACGUCAAAGGUCCAUUGUAACGUCACAAUACUCAGGGGAACUGACAACGUCAAAAUACGGCGUCAAAAGGGCGAUUUUGGCGGGAACGAAGCAAACUGAAUAAAAUGCUUUAAAAGUAUACUUUAAACGGAUGUCAAUAAAUGAUACAGGAUCAUAAGCUUGUUAGUACUAUAAUACACACUUCUUUAACGUGUUAACUAAUUAUCUAGUUCGUCAUUUUCAUGUAAAAUGUUGCAUUCUUUCGAGAAAUUUGUUUUACGUUUUUUUUUGUACAUCUAUCAAUCAGAAUGUCUCAUAUAAAUCAAAAAUCUUAUCCCUGAUAAAUAAUCAUAAAAAAGGUAACUGUUAUACUUGAUUACGUUUAAUAUUAUUAUUCAUUCACAAUACACCAUACACGCUUUAUUUAAAAGAACUGGAUAAUUCAUUUAGGGCUCAAAUACCACGAUUGAAAUCUCAGCUAGGAUUUUUUUUUGUAAAAGUACACAUAUGUUAACCGUUGUACUUGUAUUGCCAUACGAUAUUUCAAUACAUUUUAAACCUGUUUCUAUUUUCAUUCGGCGAAAUGGGGAUGUUAAAUUAGUAGUAGACACAAUGAUUUCUAUUCCUAUCAUACAUAUCAUAGAUAUCCUUUCCCAGUGGCAACCUUUUUUUUCUGGCAUUCACCGCAGAUCUUUUACUUUGUAGGACUCAUUGAGCAAUAGAUUUAUUGUAUAUUGAAUUUCAGACGUCCUUUAUAUUGCAUGAAAUAUUUGCCACUGAACGUUGAGAAGAGAAUAAUUUAUCAGUUAACAGAUUUAAAAAUAUUUCGUGUAUGUCAAUUACAGUGUGUAUUUUAUCAUAAUAAAUGCAAAUGAUUUAUUAUUGAUUCAGGUUCACUUGUAGACAAUAGAAAUUCAUUUUAGAGAAUUUCAUUCCUCGUUUUUACUAUGUUUUUUUUUUAAUUCGUAUUCUCUAAAAUUUUGAGCAAUAAGUGGUCAACAAAAUUAUAAUAAACACGAUUAAAAAAUAAGCAAAAUGAAUAUGGAUAAUGAUUUUUAUAUAAAAAAUAGUCCUCGCCUACCGAAACAAGGAUUGAAAUCAUGAUAAUUUUAAUCUGACACGUUUGAUACUUUACAACAAGAAGUAGUUCAUAGAAUCAAAGAACAGCUGCUCGGAGAUUUUAUUUAUUUUAAUGAAUUUGUACACGCUUUGUUUUUAUUUUCAUUUUCAUUGAGUGCCGUUGUUUUGCCGUUUAUAUAAUGAUUUGAGAGAUUUUUUUUACAGUGUUUAUACCAAUUACCUAAUAAAAUAAAACGAGAAUAAAUAUUUUACUAUUUUAUAGGUGCAUGGUUAAGAAUCAUUUAUGCAUUUCACUAUACAAAGAUAAACAAGUCGCCCUUAAAGAUAGUAUAGCAAUUGGUAUAUUAUUUUCACUUUAUUUUAAGACAAGAAAGAUAAAAAAUAUAUAUUCCAAGGUUAAAAGUUGUAUUUGUAAAUAAUCUUGUAUUAAAAACAUCGUUUAUGACAAUCUUAGAGCAUAUUUAACUUCCGUAAAAUAACUUAUACAUCGUUUUCAUAAUUACGGCUACAUUGACGCGGGAAAAAUUAUGGACGGCGGGAAAGCGCAGUUCUACAGAUAGGCACACAGAUAGGCACAAGUUUUGCAACGUCACAGAUAAGAAACGUCAAGAUGCUUUUGGCGCGACAAAGCAAGAAAAAAACUCGGCAGCAAGAGGGUUAAAUAUAGUAGCCAUCAACAAAACAAAUGUUUAUUAAAUAUCACAAAUGUUUGACUGAAGAAUUAUAAGGAUUAAACACAUUUUUUCUAGAGGUUAUUGAUGUGUAAACCGGGUCUCUUACUCACAAACUCAACAUAAAAGUCCUUCGGACUUUUAUUCAGUUUGUGAGUUAAUCGCCCCGGUUUUCACAUCAAUAACCUCUAGAAAAAAUGUGUUUAAUCCUAUAAUAAUAUACAAUCGCACAAAAAGCACUUGUUCAAUAAAAUAAUACUAUUCAAUAAACACAACGAUGCAAUUAGAAAUACAAUGUUUAGUUCCUACUGGAAGUGUUAGCUCUUUGAAAACUUUACUUUAAUACAUACACAUCUUACAAAUUCAUUUUAGAAUGUAGGAUUUAAGGCAUGAAAAACAUUACAACAAAAUCGCCCUUUAUGAAUUGCAAAUGACUGAUAUCUUAUCAUUAUUGUUCUAGUAACAGCCAGGAUCCUGGAACAUUGGGUGACACUAUGCAACCAUCUACUUAUGAAUGCAUUGAAAAAUCUAACGUCGCAUCGCCUGGUGCUUAUGAUACUUGUGAUAACAAGGAAAGUGGCUAUAUUACAGUUCAAUGACAAUAUUCAGUCAAUUUACCAAAAUAUGAAAAUGAAAGUUGUGACAUGUUUUAUUAUACUUUCGUUCUGAGCAUGACAGUAAUUAACUGUUUUGUUGAUUUUUGUAUCAGAAAUAUGGCUGCUUAUCUCAAAGGAUGAAGACAACACACAUAGAAAACAAAAAUCAAUGUUUACUAAUACACCACGAAGUCCGUCACGCAUAUUAUUGUCUACCAUUAAUAAAAUAUGAAUUUCCAAAUUUGAUUCCGCCAGUUGUUUGUUUUAAUCAGUAUAAUAUCUUACAUUUAUAUUACCUUCCACAAGAGUUGCAAGGAUGAAAGACAG
rnacentral:lncRNA from 1 species